rnacentral:rRNA from 1 species
UUCCAGACUCCUACGGGAGGCAGCAGUGGGGAAUAUUGGACAAUGGGGGGAACCCUGAUCCAGCGACGCCGCGUGAGUGAAGAAGUAUUUCGGUAUGUAAAGCUCUAUCAGCAGGGAAGAAAGAAAUGACGGUACCUGACUAAGAAGCCCCGGCUAACUACGUGCCAGCAGCCGCGGUAAUACGUAGGGGGCAAGCGUUAUCCGGAAUUACUGGGUGUAAAGGGAGCGCAGACGGCAGUGCAAGUCUGGAGUGAAAGCCCGUGGCUUAACUACGGGACUGCUCUGGAAACUGUGCAGCUAGAGUGCAGGAGAGGCAGGCGGAAUUCCUAGUGUAGCGGUGAAAUGCGUAGAUAUUAGGAGGAACACCGGUGGCGAAGGCGGCCUGCUGGACUGUAACUGACGUUGAGGCUCGAAAGCGUGGGGAGCAAACAGGAUUAGAUACCCGAGUA